rnacentral:rRNA from 1 species
GCAAAAAGGAAUUUUCCACAAAGAGAGAAAACUGGAUGGAAAGAGAACAGCGAGCAGGAGAAGUAGUGCGGAAUGUAAAAUGCGGUUAAAGGGAAGAAAAAAUAGAAUAGGAAAUGAUUUUAUCUUGACGGUACCUUAUUAGAAAGCGACGGCAAGCUAUGUACCAGCAGCUAAGGUAAUACAUAGGUCGCAAGCGUUAUCCGGAAUUAUUAGGCGUAAAGCGUCCGUAGGUUUUUUGCUAAGUCUGGAGUUAAAUGCUGAAGCUCAACUUCAGUCCGCUUUGGAUACUGGCAAAAUAGAAUUAUAAAGAGGUUAGCGGAAUUCCUAGUGAAGCGGUGGAAUGCGUAGAUAUUAGGAAGAACACCAAUAGGUAAAGGCAGCUAACUGGUUAUAUAUUUACUCUAAAGGACGAAAGCGUGGGGAGCAAACAGG